ACAAUGCAAAUUUGAAAUAAAUAGUGAAUUCAGAUUUCUAUUCUGAGCUCUUGGGUUAAUAAUUUCAAUGCAAGGGAGUCCACAAAUAUUUAUAAAAAGUUAUAUUAUGGAGGCCGCACCGGAACAAGUGGAUUGGGCGCUCCAGGAUCCAGGUUGCAAGGGGUUCCAAAAUGCCAAGUGCGAGAAAGAAUUUCGCGUUUUAAGUGUUGAUUAUUGAAAUACAAUUUAAGUUUUGGAAAAAAAAGCGCCGAAAGACGAUCUGGCUCUAUAUUGAUUUGGGGGUAGUGGAAGUAUCAUAUACACAACACAGUAUCGGUAUAAACUGUACCACGAAGAAGCCUUGAUAUUUGAGAGUUUUUUGUUUUGUUUUUUAUUAUAGUUAGGGAGCAGAUAAGAAAUCUGAGUUCUCUAUGAAAUUAAGCAUUUAAAUAAUACAGCUUAUUAUUAAUUACA